rnacentral:rRNA from 1 species
ACGCAGCCGCGGUAAUUCCUUCUCCAUAGCGUAUAUUAAAGUUGUUGCAGUUAAAAAGCUCGUAGUUGGAUUUCUGUUAAUAAUUAUAUAAAAUAUUUUGAUGAAUAUUUAUAUAAUAUUAACAUAAUUCAUAUUACUAUUUUUUUUAUUAUAUAAAAAAUUACUUUGAGAAAAAAAUGGUGCUUAAAGCAGGCGUCUUCCUUGUAUACUCCCCCAUGGAAUAAUAAUAAAAAUUUUUUUUUUUUUUAUUGGUGCUAAAAAAAAAAUAAUGAUUAAUAGGGGCGGCGGGGGGGGUUUUUUUUUAACAACCGGAGGGGAAAUUCUUUUUUUUGUUAAAAACAAACUACUGCGGCAGCAUUUGCCGAGGAUGUUUUUUUUAAUAAACAACAAAAGUUGGGGGGGGGAAGACCACCACCCCCCGCCGUCGUCUUCAUCAUAAAUUCUGCCCACAAUAGGGUGGGGGGGGGGG